UAGAAGCAUGUUUAUUAAUAAUUAUAAAUAUUAUUCCAUAGCUAUCGGAGACGGAACAAACGUAACAGUAAUGAGCUUCAAUAUUUAUUUCCAGUAUGUCCAGUGUAUACAGUCUAAAUCCUAUUUCCAUUCUUGGUCAGUACCACCUCCGGCAGUUUUGCUUUGACCGAAUCGUAGCUGUCAUCUUACAAUGUACCUUUUUCCUCAAUUCCAUAUAGUUGUAUUGUUUACAGAACUGACAGGAUGAUGCCGACGGCAUGGAUGAGGGCAGUUUUGCUUGCUUGUCUUCUGCGUAAAAGAUAUACUGUAUCCCAAAUAGAUGAAGUGGCUAAGAAUAUUCGUUGAAAUAGAGGAAAUAAAAAACUGUUUCAAGUUCAAGACACCAUUGGAUGUUUAUAUCAGUUCAGCUCCGGCAGAGAGUACUCUCUCAACUUUAAGAAGAGUAAAGGCUUCGCUAAGAACAAGAAAGGGGACACGCGACUAACCGGUCUAUGCAUACUUUACGUUCAUAGAGACAUUGAAGACUGAAAAUGUAAUCCAAAGAUUUGCAAACAAGGGUGCCAGAUGUCUUUAAUACGUUGUUUUAGAUCUUUUUCGUCUUUAAAAAUGAUGUAGUACUACUCAUUUGCAAUAAAUAUGAAUUUUAAAAAAUAUUACUUUUGUUUUUAUUAUACUUAAUGAACUAUACUUAAAUAACUUUUAGUACUGUACAAGUACAUUUCUUUUCGUACUUUUAAAUUUUUAGUCUAAGAUAGAAAACCCAUUUUUUAGUAGAGAUUGUGGCAAACUAAAGCCAAGGCCCCUUCCCCGAAAAUAAAUACUGGAUCCGCCCUUGAUUCAGUCUUAAAGUACACCACAACAUGGGCAGUUUUAUCCUCAACGUCGUACACCGAUCAUUAUAUUCAACAAGAUACACCAAUCUAAAUGCAUUUAGAUUUAGAACAGGAUUUGUUGAGGAGCUCACAGUGGAGCAUGCAUCCCCAAUUAAACUUAAACAAAACAAAACAAGUGAUUUAAGGUUUUGUAUCUUUUUAUUCAUUUUAAACAACUCAUUUCAAUCAGUGAACAUUUCAGUUAUUUUACAUUAGUAAU